ACGGAAGGCAGCAGUGGGGAAUAUUGGACAAUGGGGGAAACCCUGAUCUAGCGACGCCGCGUGAGUGAAGAAGUAUUUCGGUAUGUAAAGCUCUAUCAGCAAGGAAGAAAAUGACGGUACUUGACUAAGAAGCUCCGGCUAAAUACGUGCCAGCAGCCGCGGUAAUACGUAUGGAGCAAGCGUUAUCCGGAUUUACUGGGUGUAAAGGGAGCGUAGACGGCAAAGCAAGUCUGAAGUGAAAUCCCGGGGCUCAACCCCGGAACUGCUUUGGAAACUGUUUAGCUAGAGUGCAGGAGAGGUAAGCGGAAUUCCUAGUGUAGCGGUGAAAUGCGUAGAUAUUAGGAGGAACACCAGUGGCGAAGGCGGCUUACUGGACUGUAACUGACGUUGAGGCUCGAAAGCGUGGGGAGCAAACAGGAUUAGAUACCCUGGUA
rnacentral:rRNA from 1 species